rnacentral:rRNA from 1 species
CACACCGCCCGUCACAUCACGAAAGCCAGUUGUGCUAGAAGCCGGUGACUUAACCGCAAGGAAAUAGCCGUCCAAGGUAUGACUGGUGAUUGGGGUG